UUAUAACUAACAAAAUUACUUUUUAAUUUACCUCUUCUCUUCGCCUCAUUCAUCCCUGCUAUUUGGGGCUAGCUCCCUCAUCCUAAUUUUCCAAUUAACCCGAUUUCCCACCAUGCAUACAUUGGCUGUCCAUCAUUCUUAAUAGCAUCCAACCACCUCUUUUUUAGUUCUUUUACCUCCACCACUUCUCUUUCUUUCUACAUUUAUUUUUAUUUACAUUUGUAUUGCUUUCACUUCUUUUUACUUCAUGUUAUGCCCAAAUCAUCUCAGUCUAUUACUUCUUAUUUUGUCUACUACUAAAGCUACGCUUAAGUUACAUUUUAUUUAUUCGUUCAUUAUCCAAUCCUUUCUUGUCACUCUACUCAUCCAGCUAAGCAGUCACAUCUUCGCUACAAUCUUUCUCUGUUCUAUAGAAUUCAAGAUCUCACCACACUUAUAGAACUUACAAUAUUUAC